AUGUGCGGUGUAGGCUUGUCCCAAAGAAAUAUGUGCUCACCUCGGGAAAUAAGUGUUUUGUCUAGUUAAUUUCGUUAACGAAUGGGACCUCAACCUACUAACUAGCUAUGUGGAGGUAACUUGUCACGACCAGCUUCUUAGAGGGACUAUGGUCGCUUAGGCCACGGAAGUUUAAGGCAAUAACAGGUAUGUGA
rfam:Lupinus angustifolius cultivar Tanjil chromosome LG20, whole genome shotgun sequence.